rnacentral:tRNA from 1 species
GGAGAAGUCGCCUAGCUGGUCGAGGGCGCACGACUGGAAAUCGUGUAGACGGCCAAAACCGUCUCGAGGGUUCGAAUCCCUCCUUCUCCGCCA